rnacentral:rRNA from 1 species
GAUGAGCGCUGGCGGCGUGCCUAAUACAUGCAAGUCGAGCGAACAGAUGAGGAGCUUGCUCCUCUGACGUUAGCGGCGGACGGGUGAGUAACACGUGGAUAACCUACCUAUAAGACUGGGAUAACUUCGGGAAACCGGAGCUAAUACCGGAUAAUAUAUUGAACCGCAUGGUUCAAUAGUGAAAGUCGGUUUUGCUGUCACUUAUAGAUGGCUCCGCGCCGCAUUAGCUAGUUGGUAAGGUAACGGCUUACCAAGGCAACGAUGCGUAGCCGACCUGAGAGGGUGAUCGGCCACACUGGAACAGAGACACGGUCCAGACUCCUACGGUAGGCAGCAGUAGGGAAUCUUCCGCAAUGGACGAAAGCCUGACGGAGCAACGCCGCGUGAGUGAUGAAGGUCUUCGGAUCGUAAAACUCUGUUAUUAGGGAAGAACAAAUGUGUAAGUAACUAUGCACGUCUUGACGGUACCUAAUCAGAAAGCCACGGCUAACUACGUG